UACCUCAGUAACGGCGAGUGAAGCGGUAACAGCUCAAAUUUGAAAGCUGCCAACAGGCCGCGUUGUAAUUUGUAGAAGAUGCUUUGGGGGUCGGCCUAGUCUAAGUUCCUUGGAACAGGACGUCAUAGAGGGUGAGAAUCCCGUAUGUGAUUAGUGCCUGCUCCCGUGUAAAGCUCUUUCGACGAGUCGAGUUGUUUGGGAAUGCAGCUCAAAAUGGGUGGUAUAUUUCAUCUAAAGCUAAAUAUUGGCCAGAGACCGAUAGCGCACAAGUAGAGUGAUCGAAAGAUGAAAAGCACUUUGGAAAGAGAGUUAAACAGUACGUGAAAUUGUUGAAAGGGAAGCGCUUGCAACCAGACUUGCAGGCGGUCGAUCAUCCGAGGUUCUCCCCGGUGCACUCGAUCGUCUUCAGGCCAGCAUCGGUUUUGGUGGCGGGACAAAGGCUCUAGGAAUGUGGCUCUUCGGAGUGUUAUAGCCUAGGGUGCAAUGCCGCCUACCGGGACCGAGGACCGCGCUUCGGCUAGGAUGCUGGCGUAAUGGUUGUAAGCGGCCCGUCUUGAAACACGGACCAAGGAGUCUAACAUCUAUGCGAGUGUUUGGGUGUCAAACCCAUACGCGUAAUGAAAGUGAACGGAGGUGAGAGCCCUUUAGGGCGCAUCAUCGACCGAUCCUGAUGUCUUCGGAUGGAUUUGAGUAAGAGCAUAGCUGUUGGGACCCGAAAGAUGGUGAACUAUGCGUGAAUAGGGUGAAGCCAGAGGAAACUCUGGUGGAGGCUCGCAGCGGUUCUGACGUGCAAAUCGAUCGUCAAAUUUGCGUAUAGGGGCGAAAGACUAAUCGAACCAUUGGAACACUACUAGGUGGUUAAGAGGCAACGAGAUCUAGUCCACCCGGUGGGCAACACUCUCAAAUUGCGGGGACGUCCUGUUAGUGCACCGCUACCGCAGCCGCUCCGAAAGGACGGUGCGCACCGGCUCCAGCGCCGGGGAUGGUAACAACGCGCGUGCUAGGGAUGAUCCGCAGCCAACUCCUACGGGCCUUGGGGCCUACGGACGCAGUUCACAGACUAAAUGUGAGUGGGCUCUCAGAGCUUAAGUGAUAGUCGACCCCCCGCGAGAGCGGGUGGAAGCAGUGCUAGUAGCUGGUUCCUGCCGAAGUUUCCCUCAGGAUAGCAGUGUUGUUUUCAGUUUU
rnacentral:rRNA from 1 species